rnacentral:rRNA from 1 species
GAUGAACGCUGGCGGCGUGCCUAACACAUGCAAGUCGAGCGGCAGCGAGGGGUGCUUGCACCCUGUCGGCGAGCGGCGGACGGCUGAGUAACGCGUGGGAACGUGCCCCAAAGUGAGGAAUAACUGCCCGAAAGGGUAGCUAAUACCGCAUAUUAUCUUCGGAUCAAAGGAUUUAUCCGCUUUGGGAGCGGCUCGCGUCGGAUUAGGUAGUUGGUGAGGUAAUGGCUCACCAAGCCGACGAUCCGUAGCUGGUCUGAGAGGAUGACCAGCCAGACUGGAACUGAGACACGGUCCAGACUCCUACGGGAGGCAGCAGUGAGGAAACUUCCACAAUGGGCGAAAGCCUGAUGGAGCAACGCCGCGUGCAGGACGAAGGCCUUCGGGUUGUAAACUGCUUUUAUAAGUGAGGAAUAUGACGGUAACUUAUGAAUAAGGAUCGGCUAACUACGUG